GGACUACGGGGGUAUCUAAUCCAUUUUGCGCCCCUAGCCUUCAUCCUUUACUGUCAGAACUGUCCUCGUAGAAUGCCUUCGCUAUUGUGAGUCUGCAUAAGAUUAACACAUUUUACCGCUACUUUAUACAUACUUUCUACGUCUUCCAGUCUCUAGCUUAGCAGUAUCCCUUGCACGCCUUAUCCUUAAGAGAUAAGAUUUCACAAGGAACUUAUUAAGCAAGCUACGGAUGUUUUAGACCCAAUAAUGAUGGCUGCGACUUGGACCGCUAGUAUUACCGCGGCGGCUGGCACUAGUCUUGCCCAGUCCUUAUUCGCCAAAAUUUUUAGAUUUGGCAAAAGCUUUUCAAUUGAAAAGCACUCUGGCUCGCUUUGUCACGCUUGCGCGCAUUGCAAAAGAUUCCUAACUGCUGCCCCCCAUAGG
rnacentral:rRNA from 1 species